GUCCUCGCUCGAGCACCGGGACACCAUGGGCGGGAUGCCCUUUGGAGCCGACACAGGCCAGGGAGAGACGGCUGCGAGGGGGAGGACGCUGGAGCCCACACGCCGUCCAGGCGGCCAUCUUCGGGGGGCGAGCCCACGGGCUUCGCGCCCUACAGCCUCUCCUUCUCGCCCUUCUCCAAGGACGCGGCCAUGUGGCAAGGUUUGUUUGGUACAGCAGCAGAACAAGGAGCUGCAUCUUCAAGGUCAGCAGCAGCAGCAGCUACAUGGAUGCAAGGACGCCACCAUGGAUGAAAGAGCAGCUCAAUUUGAAGGAGAAGUCUCCCUAUGUUGCCAAGGCUGAGAUGCUCAAGGCCGAGUACACCAAGAAGAUCGAUGCUUACAACUACCCAUAGGGUGACUAGUGAUGCGGCACACCAAGCAACAGUGGGGGAAGGGGGUCUCUGGAAUGUCGAUGUUGCCACUUAUUGCUGAAGUCACCAAUUUAUGAUGGAUGGUUGCUGUUAGUUUAGCUCCUUGGUAGUCCCUCCUCUCUUUCAGGCAGCUGCUGCUGCUAGUAGAAAUGGAAGCUAUUGUGUGCCAUGUAGUUCAUGUUGGAAAUAUGCCCU